GUGGAUUAGAUACCCUAGUAGUCCACGCCGUAAACUAUGGAUACUAGCUGUUGGAGGUAUCGACCCCUUCAGUAGCGAAGCUAACGCGUUAAGUAUCCCGCCUGUGGAGUACGGUCGCAAGACUAAAACAUAAAGGAAUUGACGGGGACCCGCACAAGCGGUGGAUCGUGUUCUUUAAUUCGAUGCUAAACGAAAAACCUUACCAGGGCUUGACAUCCCUUGAAUUAAUCCGAAAGGAUUGAGUGCUUUAUUGAACAAGGUGACAGGUGAUGCAUGGCCGUCGACAGCU
rnacentral:rRNA from 1 species